UUACGCUUGAAUUUUUACUCAAAGAUCUCGGGAUCGUAAAAAUUGAAAGGAUAGCAGUCUUGCGUAAUAACGUAUGUACAAUCAACCAGGAUUAUCGGAUGUCAUUCCGGGAAUAUAUAUUCGAGCCUGCGAUUCCGAGAAAUUACUGAAAAACAUUUCGAGAAGCGAGCGACUGUAAGUAAAUAAACAAAUCGCGCCGCGCGGACAUUUCUUCCCUUUUCCCUUCCGCCGUCUCCUGUUUCGCUCCGUCCGCUCGGGCGCACACCCUGUAGUCCGCUGUACAUUAAGGUACGAGCUCGCAUAAACAUCCCCGCUCAAAGCUUCUCGAUUAUAUAUUCUGUCGAGAAAAGCAAUAAUGUUCGAUUCCAUCAACUAACAAGAUGUUCGUGGAUGAGAUUUUUUAACUAUGCGAUUGUAUACUCCGCGUACUUAUCGAUACGGAGCGUGCGACUAAUCGACUUUUAAACAGUUGGUAGAAGUGGAUCGUCAGUCGUCCAGUCGUCCAGUCGUCCCCCCGAGUACCGACACGGUCGCGUCUGGAUCCGUUAUUGAUCGCGGAUCGAGAAGAUAAUUCGUCGAGAAGAGGCUCGAGCGGCCUCAGGAACGGACCCAAGGAUCUUCCUAAGGAUCCUCCGAUGCCGAUGGAAGUGUUCGCGGACAGUCAUCGGCCCUCGUGAAACGAGACAGGUACGCGGAGUGCGGCGCGGCGUUUCGGUAAUUGCGUCGCAAGCGUCGUGUUGUGUGUGAGAGAGACGCGGUUCGACGGGUAAAGGACGGAAAGCACGCGUGUCGAAGGUGCGUGGCGAACAGUGCGUAUCGAAAACACGAAAGGCCAGAGAGGUAGUGUGAUGAAAAGUACUUGGAAGCUAGUGCCUCUAACGGAGUAAUGACUUUGCGAAAAUUCCGAGAUACGUGAUGCGAGGUGAGUAGUAAUGGCGGACGCGGGGGGUGGGGGGGAAGAGCAACUUCUUUUCCCGGCCAAUUUCCGAGGACCUUUCGAUACCGUGGAAGUAGUCGCGGACGGCGAUCGCAUCCUGGUGAAACGAAACAAACGUCGCGGAGUGCCGCCUUUUGGUUGGAAUUCCGUCGUGUUUUGACGUAUCUUGACGGGUAAAGAACGAAUAGAACGCGUGUCGAAGGUGCGUGGCGAACAGUGCGUAUCGAAAACACGAAAGGUGACAGAGAUAGUGUGAUAAAAAGUGCUUGGAAGUGCCAGUAAUGGAGUAACGAUUUCGAGAAAACUCCAAGAUAUCUACGGACGCCCGGCGAGCAGUAAUGCAAGCGGACGAGGGAAGCAACGUAUUUUUCUCCUAUUUCCAGAUAUGGUCAUCGAAAAAUUACAUCGCAGGAUCUAGUGGCUGAAUAACUCCGCUCAUUGCGCAUCGGGUCGGUGAGUCAAAAAAAUUUUUUUAUUUUCUUAUUUUAGUGCUUAAAUAUUUUGCGCAGGUUGAAAGAAAUGUUUAAAUAAUACUUAGAUUUUCAUUUGUCUUUAUUACAAAAAGUAUUCAUCACCUUCGCCAAACAUUCGUUACGCUUUAUCUUAUAAAAGUAAAUGAACGAUUAAUGUCGGUAUCAUUUUCAACUCAAAUAGACGUGAGCAGAAAUCAUCGUUUAGUUAUAUUAUCUCUCUCUAAUGAGGAAAUCUAAUCUUCGGGUUAUAAGGUCCCUGACCGGGGAAAGUCGGGAAGGGUUU